CACAAAUGGGCGGCCAUUGGAUGUGGGACACGCCAAGAACUGGCAGCCAUUGGAGAUUUGGACAACCCAAGAUGGCGGCUAUUGGUGACACAAGAUGGCGGCCAUUGGGUUUGGACACCCAAGAUGGCGGCCAUUGGUGACACAAGAUGGCGGCCAUUGGCUUUGGACACCCAAGAUGGCGGCCAUUGGAUUUGGACACCCAAGAUGGCGGCUAUUGGUGACACAAGAUGGCGGCCAUUGAACAUGGACACUCAAGAUGGCGGCAUUGAAAAUUGGAAUAUUAGCUUUGGGGACAACAAGAUGGCGGCCAUUGGUGACACAAGAUGGCGGCCAUUGGCUUUGGACACCCAAGAUGGCGGCCAUUGCCAUUGGAUAUUGGCUUUGGUGACACAAGAUGGCGGCCAUUGGCUUUGGACACCCAAGAUGGCGGCAGUGUGCUUUGGACAUAGACCCAAAGAUGGCGGCCAUUGUGGACAACAAAGAUGGCGGCAAUUGGCUAGGACACCCAAGAUGGUGGCCAUUGCCAUUGGACAUUGGCUUUGAUGACACAAGAUGGCGGCCAUUUGGCUUUUGGACAUCCCAGAUGACAGCGCCAUGCCAGUUGGAUCAAUUGGCUUUGAUGACAGCAGAAGAUGGCGGGCCAUUGGGAUUGCACCCAAGAUGGCGGCCAUUGGCUUUGGACACCCAAGAUGGCGGCCAUUGGUGACACAAGAUGGCAGCCAUUGGCUUUGGACACUGAAGAUGGCGGCCAAUGGACCCAUCAGAAAGCCAAUAUGGUCAUAAAUUGGACCCAAUCGAGAAACCAAUUGGACCCAUCAGAACCCUUGGGACCCAUCAGAACCCAUUGGGACCCAUCAAACCAAAUUGGACCAUCAGAACCAUUGGACCCAUCAGAACCGAAUUGGGACCAUCAGAACGCCAUUGGACCAUCAGAACCAAUUGGACCCAUAUCAAAGCAACCAAUUGCGGUCAGCAAUGGACCCAGUCAGCCCCAUUGGACCCAUCAGAACCAAUUGGGAGACCCUCAGAACCAAUUGGGACCCAUCAGAACCAAUAUUGGGUCAGCAUUGGACCCAUCAGAACCAAUUGGACCCAUCAGAACCCAUUGGGUCAGCAUUGGACCCAUCCAGAACCCAUUGGACCCAUCAGAACCCAUGUGCGGAACCCAGUCAGAAACGCAAUUGGACCCAUCAGAAACCCAAAUAUUGGGUCAGCAUUGGACCCAUCAGAAGCCCAUUGGAGCUGCCAUCAGAACACAUUGGACCCAUCCAGAAACCGAAUCAAUUGGUCAGCAUUGAGACCAUCAGGAACCCAUUGGACCCAUCAGAACCCAUUGGACCCCAUCAUGAAACCCCAUUGGGGACCCCAGCAGAACCGAAUGGACCCAUCAAACCCAUUGGGACGCCAUCAGCAACGCCAAUUGACCUCACAACCCAUGGCGACUCCACAUCAGAACCAAUUGGACCCAUCAGAACCCAUGGACCCAUCAGAACCCCAUUGGGACCCAUCAGAUACUCCCAUUGGGACCCAUCAGAACCAAUUGGACCCAUCAGAACCCAUUGGACCCAUCAGAACCCAUUGGACCCAUCAGAACCAAUUGGACCCAUCAGAACCAAUAUUGGGUCAGCAUUGGACCCAUCAGAACCAAUUGGACCCAUCAGAACCAAUUGGACCCAUCAGAACCCAUUGGGACCCAUCAGAACCCAUUGGGACCCAUCAGAACCAAUUGGGACCCAUCAGAACCAAUUGGACCCAUCAGAACCCAUUGGACCCAUCAGAACCAUUGUGACCCCAUGCAGAACCAAUGUGGACCCCAUCAGAACCGCAUUGCGGAACCCAUCAAACCAAUUGGCCAUCAAGAACCCAUUGGACCCAUCAGAACAAAUAUUGGUCAGCAUUGGACCCAUCAGAACAAUAUGGGAACCCAUCAGAACCCAUUGGACCAUCAGGAACCAAUUGCGGACCAUCAGAACCCACUUGGACCCAUCAGAACCCAUUGGACCCAUCAGAACCCAUUGGGACCCAUCAGAAACCAAUAUGGGUCAGUAUAUGGGACCAUCAAACCAAUUGGACCCAUGCAGAACCAAAUUGAAACCCAUCAGAUACCCAUUGGGACCACAUCAGCAACCCAUUGGACCCGUAUUAGGGGGGGUCCCUAUAGUUUGUAGUGUUGGGCUGGGAUAUAGGGUUGUUUUAUGGGGGCGGCGGGCGGCAUAUUUUGGGGUAGAAAUGAGAAGUUGGGGUUUGUGGGGGGGGGAGGAGAUUUUGGGGGUGUUUUGUAAUAAAGAAGUGAAAGAAAUUGAGGGGUUCUUUUUUGGGGGGGGGUCUGGGACCCUAUAAAGUGG
rnacentral:lncRNA from 1 species